UACGGGGGGAGCAAGCGUUGUUCGGAUUUACUGGGCGUAAAGGGCGCGUAGGCGGCCUCCGCAAGUCGACUGUGAAAUCUCUGGGCCUAACCCAGAACGGUCAGCCGAUACUGCGGGGCUAGAGUGCAGAAGGGGCAACUGGAAUUCUCGGUGUAGCGGUGAAAUGCGUAGAUAUCGAGAGGAACACCUGCGGCGAAGGCGGGUUGCUGGGCUGACACUGACGCUGAGGCGCGAAAGCUAGGGGAGCGAACGGG
rnacentral:rRNA from 1 species